UGAGGGAAUAUUGGGUCAAUGGGGCGAAAGCCUGAACCAGCCAUGCCGCGUGAAGGAAUAAGGCCCUAUGGGUCGUAAACUUCUUUUGUAUCGGAGCAAUAAGGGCCACGAGUGGUCCGAUGAGAUUACGAUACGAAUAAGCAUCGGCUAACUCCGUGCCAGCAGCCGCGGUAAUACGGAGGAUGCAAGCGUUAUCCGGAUUUAUUGGGCGUAAAGCGCGCGCAGGCGGCUUCUUAAGUCCAUCUUAAAGGUGCGGGGCUUAACCCCGUGAUGGGAUGGAAACUGAGAGGCUGGAGUAUCGGAGAGGAAAGUGGAAUUCCUAGUGUAGCGGUGAAAUGCGUAGAGAUUAGGAAGAACACCGGUGGCGAAGGCGACUUUCUGGACGACAACUGACGCUGAGGCGCGAAAGCGUGGG
rnacentral:rRNA from 1 species